UUCUACGGGUCAGAGACGGGGCCCGGGAGUCUGAAUUCUAACGAGUACCACCUUCGAUCGGCCAGGUGAUUUUACGCCCUUCGCGGUAGAGGUGACCAUCCAUAUUUAUCGCACAAGGACAUUCCUCAAAGGCCGGGGUGCAGCAGCAUGCCUCAGCUCACAGGAGAUAAGUACAAGAGCCUACCAGGGUCAAACCGAGGUUGAUCUGGCCCCAAGUCAGCGCCACUGAUGCUCACUGCUAUCAGUUUUCUCGAACCUCAGAAAGCCCUCAGCUCUGUAUCCGUCAGCUCUUGCCGCAUAACAAACCAUGCCAGAACUCA